GAUCAUGGCUCAGAACGAACGCUGGCGGCAUGCCUAAUACAUGCAAGUCGAACGGAGAUAGCAAUAUCUUAGUGGCGAACGGGUGCGUAACACGUGAGCAACCUGCCUUAUACAUCGGAAUAACAGCUGGAAACGGCUGCUAAUACCGGAUAAGACCACACCAAGGCAUCUUGGAGAGGUCAAAGCGAAUUAGCGGUAUAAGAUGGGCUCGCGUCCAAUUAGCUAGUUGGUGGGGUAACGGCCCACCAAGGCAACGAUUGGUAGCCGACUUGAGAGAGUGAUCGGCCACACUGGAACUGAGACACGGUCCAGACUCCUACGGGAGGCAGCAGUAGGGAAUAUUGGGCAAUGGAGGAAAAACCUCUUACCCAGCAAUGCCGCGUGAAUGAUGAAGGUCUUAUGGAUUGUAAAGUUCUUUAAUUGGGGACGAAAGAAAUGACGGUACCCAAAGAAUAAGCCCCGGCUAACUAUGUGCCAGCCGCCGC
rnacentral:rRNA from 1 species